rnacentral:tRNA from 1 species
UGUGACUUGGUGUAAUUGGCAACACGCCACUCUCAUAAGGUGGAAGAUUUUGGUUCGAAUCCGGAAGUCGCAA